UCAUUAAGUUGGGCACUCUAAGGUGACUGCCGGUGACAAACCGGAGGAAGGUGGGGAUGACGUCAAAUCAUCAUGCCCCUUAUGACCUGGGCUACACACGUGCUACAAUGGACGGUACAAAGAGCUGCAAGACCGCGAGGUGGAGCUAAUCUCAUAAAACCGUUCUCAGUUCGGAUUGUAGGCUGCAACUCGCCUACAUGAAGCUGGAAUCGCUAGUAAUCGCGGAUCAGCAUGCCGCGGUGAAUACGUUCCCGGGCCUUGUACACACCGCCCGUCACACCACGAGAGUUUGUAACACCCGAAGUCGGUGGG
rnacentral:rRNA from 1 species